GGGUCGAUAGCUCAGUGGUAGAGCGUCGCCUUUACACGGCGAGGGCCGCAGGUUCGAACCCUGCUCGACCCACCA
rnacentral:tRNA from 1 species